AGUGAAGUUACAGUCCCAGCAGGAGAAGCGGUAGAACCAGAGAGGGAGAAACCACACAAUCUUCACAGCCACACUAGAGUCAUUGACAAGUGUUGAGCUAACAAUUAGGUGAAGAGAAGAUUCUACAAAAAUAAACAAGUGUUGCAUAUCUCUACAUCAACUUAAUGGUGAAGGUGAUGAAGAUCUAGAAGAGCAAGGUUGGUUCUUACUAAGGAAUGAGCCGUAGACCGGUAUUCUACCUCAGAAGUGGAAUACGUGGGUCGAUACACGAAGAAUAGAAUCGAUGAGAUUUUCAGAGAUACCAGGAAUGAUACUAAUAUUGAGAUGCCUUCGACUAAGUCUGAAUUAUUAUAAAACGAACGUAUUGUUGUGCCUACUGCUUUGGAUACUAAUAUUUUGCAGGCAUAUGAGAACAACCAAGGUAAUGAGGAAGAGAGGAAAGACGAAGAGGAAAAAGACCUAUCUAUAGCUCCAUUCUUGCUUGAAGAAUGUUCAAUUGACCAAGCGCCUAUAAUUUCUGAAGAUGAGAAAAAAAUGUAAUGAUAAUGGUGCUACAGCAACUCAAGGUACUUGCUUGGACGAAGGAAAAGAGGCCGAGCAUAACAAAUGCAUGUAAUAUCAAAGAAGUUGAUUAGGAACUAAACCAAUAUCUUCUCCAAGUUGACUUCAAGGGCAAUUUGGAGUCCAGGACCAGUCUACACUAAAACGGGCACCCAGGUCGCUUACGUGCUUGGAUUGGGGCGUUCUUUAUAUGGAUGGAAAGCUAAGAAGAUAACCGUUCCAAUGGUUUUGGUCCCACAUCCAAAUUCUUUCCAAGUCAACGGGAAUCGACCGAAUAAGUUGACAUCUAGAAUCUGUCCCGGCGCUGCGUUGAAGCCCAUUAGGGUUAUGUCAAGGGUUGGUUGCACGACCCUAAAUUCUAUAUAUAUCAGUACCCGCCGUCAUAUUUAGGGUUUGGGGUUUCACUUAGAUUAUUCUGUCAAGAACAGUUUCGCUGCUAAAUUGGUUUGUAAGACCCCAACUUGUGAGCUUAAUCAUUCAUCUGCAAUUUUGGUUGUAUUCUACCUUGUUCUUAUUUGUGUUCUUCGAUUGGCAAUCAUGGAUUAGCCUUCUCGGCAAGGUCAUCCGUGUUUCGGCACGGGUGAUAACCAGAGGACACGUGGUGCGGCUAUUGCGGGGCUCAAGAGCGUGCGCGUUCAAGAAGUCCGAUCGAUUUGUGUCGCGACUCCGCCCAAAUCGUUGUUUAUCAGAACCUUUUGGAAAAUCAGGAACCCUAGUCCACAUCAAUAAAGCUUAUGUGGAGUUCAGGGUAUGGAAAAGAGUACAGCAUUACCUGCAUCACAUAUAUUGCUUAGUUAAAUAAUCGAUCCAAGGAAAUACAAGACAUACUUUUUGUCAAGAAUGUGCAUGUGUAUGUGUAUGGUGAAUUUGUGGGUG